rnacentral:lncRNA from 1 species
CUUCCGGGGAGGCUGAAGAGCCACGGGGAGCCACAGGGACUUCACUUCCACUCUGAGCUGGGACCUGUGCGUCCCCAGUGAACCACCAGAACCACAUGUCACGUGGAAGCAGAGUAGAGAAAUACGCGGCCCAGAAGGCAUGAGGAGGGGAUGUCGGGGUUUACAAAUGGAAAAGGACAAAAUCUGAAGUUUCAAAAAUGCAUAAAUUGGAAAAUUUCCAACAAUCUCUCUGUUCCUAACCCCCAACCCCUUCCUGAUCUACACGAGGGAGCCUGCCUUCUCCAGGUCCUCUGGGGCGCGUCUCUCUGUGUACCUUGUCGGCACCAGCUCACUCUGAGAUGUGACACAAGGAACUGGGAUCUCGGAAGCCCUGCCAGCCCCAAUUCUGAGGUCCUGGAGACUCAUGUGGAGGCCCCAGUGACCUGCGCUUCCCACCCCCAUCCCUCCCUGCAGCGUAUGGGACGAUGCCAGCUGACACACAGGAGGACACAGCCCCCCAGUCCUGUGCCUGAGGACCCACUUUGCACUUCUUGUCAGCAGCAUCUCUGUCUCUCUUGUGGCAGAAGUGCGCUGAGACCCAAGUUGGCAGAUUCUCACAGGCUGGGCCUGGUGCUGGGUGAGACCCCUGCCCCUGCCCUGUUGCUGCUGCUUCUCUGCUGGGCAGGUUUUCACCUGGGAAGGG